CAAGAACCUGGUUUUUCAUCUUGUUGCCCUGUUUUGAGAGGGACUUCUAUUAGUAAGCACUGCUCAGCCGAGGUCCUCUGCCUGGUGCACCCCAGGGCCCCAUCCCAUUGCUCCCUGCCCGGUGCCAUGCGGUCCCCAGCAGUGCUGGCGGCUGAAGCUGUCCUGGGAAAUCGAGUGGAUGGCUCAUGGGGUGCAUCAUUUGCAAGUGGCUGAGCAAGUGUGGUGUGGGGAAUGGCCGAGGCUGAAUGGGAGCUGACAGUUUCCUUGGCACCCGAAACAGAAAUAAAUCCUUUCCUUUGUCUCUAGCUUAGCAGAACUGAGCGGGGACAAGGCAGAGAGGGCAGUUUUAAGUUUCAGGUACCAAAUAUGCAGGGUGGGAAGGAGCUAAAUCCUCUUUCUCUAGCAAGAUUUGAAUCAAGCUAGGCUAACCCGUGAGGAAGACCCUAAAAUCUUAUUCUGGGAGCUGAAAAUUGUAAACCGACACCAGAAGCUGCUGCUUUUCCCUGUGGCUAUGUGACCAGGCUGCAGCAAAAUAAAAUAUACCCCCUUGGGUUAAACGUGGGAAGAAAGUGGACAGGAUGUGGGAAGCUGCUGAAUAAUCCAGUGAGGAGAACUUGAGCUAUCUCAGAGGCACACUUCCUAACCUGGCUGAAGGUCCUGGCUGGGAAAUUCUUCCCUGCCUCAUUUGUAGGAGCGACGUGGGUGAGGAGUGAUGGAGGAGAAGGGGCAGCAAUGUGCUGUGUGGUGUCUGUGAUGUCUUAUAGGCUGUACAGCAAGGUGAUGCUCAGCUUCUCUUCUGUGGGAUUGUUUGAAUUCCUGCUGCUGUUGUGGUUGGCUGUUUCUCCCUGUAGUAAGGAUAUGCCUUCCUGCCAGACUCCGCAGUGCCCUCCUGGCAUGAAAAGGGGCAACCAUAGCUUGCCUGGCGGAGGGCAGCUCCACACUGCAGCUCCAUCCUGCAAAUCAGCAAAGGCAACUGAGCGUGUGAUGCUGCGUACAGUGGAGGAGCUUGGCUGGAGGAGGCAGAGGUUAAGAAUGCAGCCCAGAGAACAGCAGGGGGAACGCUAAAAUGUUUGUCCUGUGCUUUGUAAAUACAGCAGAUAUGCCUGCAUUUCAAACCCAGUCUAGCAACACUCAUGUACAUACGGUUUCACGGACAGCUUUCUUUCUGCAUCACCUGCAGGAUCAGUAACGUUGAUGCUGAGUGGCAAACAGUGGGAGCCGUUCCAGUAUGAAUAUUCUGACAAGGGAAUGAGUCUGUUUGCUUGGCUGCAAAGGCCUUGGAAUCCAGCAAGGAGUACACAGUGACCCCAUCUCUGCACCAAACAGUGGUUUUCUGACCAAAUUUGCCCAAACUUUGCAAUGUCUGCAAAAAAUUAAAAAAAAAAAAAAAAAAAGGCGCCCCAAAAGCAUGAGGUGAUUUAAGUCUCGAGAAUCCUAAUUAAGAAAUAGCAAUUAAAGACUUGCCUGAACCUACAACUGGCCUUACUGGCUCCUCAGUAUGGAUGUCCUGUAGUGGUUAGGAGCAGCAUCCCUGCUGGUUGGGGUGCCCACCCAUCAGGCCUUGAGAGGGAAUUGAAACACUCAUUUUUUGACACCCCAUGUUCUGAAGGUUCUCCCCUCGUUGCUUUUCCCAGAAUGCUCAAAACAAAAGUGCGUUUCCUGUUUAGAAAGAGAGAGAAGAUAAGCCCUAAAGUGCAGCCUCCUGCUCUGGCUACCCCAAGUAUAAACAGCCUGCGCGGCCAGGCACUGCUUUUGUUUGUUCUAGCAGCUUUCUCUCCUUAAAGGUACAUUAGGCACAAUUAUACAAAGUCCGUUUUCUGGCAGCAUCACUCCUGACUGGCACGAGAGCUCCAGGACCAUCAGCUCAUCAGGAAAUCUCCUGUCUGCCCGGAGCACGCAGUGAAUUCCCACCUUUGCACUCAAGGCACAGCAUUAAGUGCUUCCAAAGUAUGUUACUCGUUUGCAUUUCUGUAAUAUUUCUCCACUGUAGCAUCAGAGUGCUCUGUAAAUAGUCACUGCUAACCUCCCUGGGUGGGGUGCUGGGGAUGGGUUUGUUUUUUUGGCUUACGGAGAGCAAAAGGUUUGCGUUGUGAGUCAGCACUGAAGCUCAGUAAUUCAACACGAGAUGGGUUUAAGGCUACCUUUGACCAAUCCGGGGCUGUUGUGGCUUCCAGGGUAAUGCAGAGCAUCCGUGGAAUCCCUCUGUGCAGCAGGGUGAAGAUCUGAGGAAGAGACCUACAGCCAAAUGGCCUGAGCUGUCACAGCACGGUACCUAUGAUUCCCAUGACGGCUCCAUCCUGCAACGUUCUGAACCUCCUCACUGUGCUUCAGCAAUGCGAUCAGGUCCAGAUACGAGCUCAGGACUGGACCUACUGCAACAAGCAGUGUGAACAAUGCUGGGCUCUUACUGCCAUGCUCAGGUACAAGGCCUGAUGUUUCAGAACCCCCUGGUUACCUGGUGGAUGCAUUUAGGAGCACAUAGGAAUACUCGGGAAAUGCCCAAUCUUCCAUGCCUCACUUUGCUCUGUUGGGAGCUGUGAUUGUGUAGACUGAGAUCUGUAAAGCUGUAGUAAAAGGAAGAAGGACCCAAACAGGGAGGGGUGGGAGCUCCACAAAGUAACGUGGGCCUUCUUUCCCUUAAGUGGUGUUUAUGAGCUGACUGUGGAAGGUCUCGUGUCCCUGUAGGCAAGCAUCACUCUUCUGUAACUUGGUGCACCCCAUAGGUGUGUGAGCAGGAGAAGCAUUGCAGGCACAUUGCUGCCCUGGCAGCCUCCCCUGCUCUGCUGGGACCACUGGAGCCCGCUUUGUGCUCACAGCUGUGUGGGUGCUGCCACUGCUGUACUGCUACCUUACUGUCUCAUGUGUCAGCAUGUAAAUGUUAGUUCUGCAUUAUUAAAGGAAAAAAUGAGAUGAGAGGCUGUGACAACCAAUGGAAGGAGCAGAGCCUCCCCUUAGCAGCGGGCCCAGAGCAUCUGCCAUCCCAACCUGCAGGUGCUUCUGCCUGAGCCGGGGUCCCAUGUUGAAGGCAGUGGGGAAUAAGAAGCUCGACUUUGUGCUGCUGGUGUAAGCAGAGCCCUGCAGCACUGACCCCCAGCCCUGUGCUCAGGAAUCCUCCGGGUGAGAGCAGUGUGCUCUGCUGCAAAGGAAGAGCGUAAAAAGAGCAGUGCUCACAGCUAUUGAAUUGCCUGUGAACAGGGGUAGCUCUCCCCACCCAAAUGUGCGCUCUGGCACUUUACCAGCUGAAGUCAUAGCUUGCUCUUCAGGGCUUUCUGUUAUUUUCCUUCCAGUGAGUUUCUGGCUGCAUCUAGAGUGCCAAAAAAACUUAUUGCAGGAAACAGGAGUGUCAUUUCUCCUUGUCUGCUGUGAGCGAGUCCUCAUCGGUUCAAGUGACAACACGUGCAGGUGCCUCUCUGCUUUUUCCACACCGGGUGAGUCCUUUCAGCAAGCAGGGAGGGAACAGCUGCUGGGUGAAAACAAGGCCAUCCUGCUGACCCAAGCUGAAAUGCGACAGGGAAAUGGGAUUUCUGACCUUGAGAGGUACAAAGUUGCCCAAAGGAGGGACCCGGCGAAGAUUAAAAAUAACUCCAUCUCCGUAACGCUUCUGCAGCUGGGCCAAAGCAUUGCAAAACACACAGCCAGCUAUGAAAUAGGACCAAUUGACAACAGCCUUUUGGUGACCGAUGGGCUGAGGAGCUCGCCCUCCCCUUUGCGAGCAUGGACUGAAGAACAGCUGCUUUUGUCAGCCGUGCUCUUGUUUGUCCUCUCCCCUGUCCCUGCAGAUGUUUGAGGAUGGCUGCUGUGACGGUGCUCAUCGUGUGGGUCGGUGUUCCUUUCUCCUCAGCUCCCACUUCUCUUUGGCUGUUGUGAGAGCAAUUAGACAUUACUCAGAGAGGGCCAGACAGUGUGUGGGUCCAUGGUCGCUCGGUCUGUCUGUCUGUCUCCCCCCUCUCGCACACAUGCCAUGUGAUUUGAAGCAGUCAUGUACCAUGAAUAAUGUCCAGGGGCCAGGUCACAAGCUUCCCAUAGCAUGGAAUUCAUUUGCAUACAAUCCGAGUAAUUACAAGUAAUGAAUAGAUUAGGAAAACCAAACAAAACGAGAAACGAUUCAGGCUGCUG
rnacentral:lncRNA from 1 species